rnacentral:rRNA from 1 species
CAGUAGCCGCGGUAAUACGUAGGUGGCAAGCGUUGUCCGGAAUUAUUGGGCGUAAAGGGCUCGCAGGCGGUUUCUUAAGUCUGAUGUGAAAGCCCCCGGCUCAACCGGGGAGGGUCAUUGGAAACUGGGAAGCUUGAGUGCAGAAGAGGAGAGUGGAAUUCCACGUGUAGCGGUGAAAUGCGUAGAGAUGUGGAGGAACACCAGUGGCGAAGGCGACUCUCUGGUCUGUAACUGACGCUGAGGAGCGAAAGCGUGGGGAGCGAACAGGAUUAGAUACCCCGGUAGUCCCUGUCUCUUAUAC